rnacentral:lncRNA from 1 species
CUGUCCCGAACCUGACCCGCUCAGUCAUCACCGUUGGGUCCGGAUCAUCCCCAAACAUCUAUAAAACAUCUCCGUUUUCUUAUUUAGGCUACCUAACCUAUUUUUCUCAGCCGUUCGAUUACGAUCGUAGGAAUGAGGUAUCCCCUAACCUAAAUUCAUCUGAUAUAAAUAUCAGUCUAACCCUAGAUCCUAGGGGCUUGUCUCAUCAUUCCUUUCGGCCGCCGCCACUCUCUCAUCGGGAUCCUCCCCGAUCCACCCACCUCCUCUCCCUUGAAUUCCUCAUCGGGCAAACCCCAGCCUUUCCCGAGCGCAGCCGCGCCCGAGGCCCCAAGCAACUCCAACCUCGCAACCCUGCCGCCCCGGCGACCUCGCCGCCGGCGACUGACCCGCAUGGUCCAGGCCUCUUCCCCUGCCCUGUUCCCUCCUUCCCUUUCUAGCUCCCUCCUUUCUCUCAUGGCCGUCGCUUGCUGUGUCUCUUUUUCACACCACCAGAGGCCAUGGACGUCGCCGCCCCUUGGGAAGUCGCUGCCGUCGCUACGAACCCUCCCCGACGCCUAGCUCUUCCUCGCUGCCGCGCCAUGUUGCCGUUCCUCUGCUUGGUCGCCGUCCAGGACUUCCUCGCAUCACCUCCAGAUCGAGCAGGAGCCUCGACCCCGAGCUCCUCCUCUGCUUCUUCCCCACGCGCCCGAAGCCCACCUCCUCUCCCCUCGAUCCUGAAUGGAUCGUGAAGCUGCCUGAGGCCCCGAGCAGGAGCGCUCGGCCUCAUCCCCUCGCGCCGCCUCGCCGCUCCAGUGCCGCAGGUCGCCGUCACGUGCCUCCUCCUCCCGUCCUUCUCCUGCUCGUCUUCCCCUCUGUCUCUCAUCCCUCUCGUUUUCUCUCUGACCAGGAGAACCAACUGCCGCGAACAUCGCCGGAGAUGGGCCCCUGACGUCCAGAUCCGCUCGCUUUCACUGCCUCGGCGCCGUCCCUGUCGCCGUCGUCUUCAUCGGUUCCUGACGAGGACGACGCCCCUCCAGUUCGUCUCGAGUGCCAGUCUCUGCCCGAUCUGGUCCCCGUUGACCGCGAGCAUUGGCUGGGUCACAGCCGCGCAGGCCCAGCUCCCUUCGCCCGCGAGCCCAGCUCCGCGCGUCCCUGCAGGCCCAAUGUGAGCCACAGCCCAGUCCCUGGCCCAGCAGUGUACUAAUUCAGCCCGUGUUGUUUUUUUUCCUCUGGACGAAUUUGUCUAUUUAUCCAGAGAACGUCAGCUUUGCAGAAAAACCCUCUUUGUUCCUGCAUCAAUAAUUCACAAACCAUGCAUCAGAAUUAAAUAAAUUAUAUAUGAAAAGUGCUUAGAAUUUCAUCUAGUUUCAUAAUAAGCAACUUUCAUCCAUGUUAAAAAUGUUUAACUUGCUGUUUGCAUUAAUUUGCUUAAAUGCCAUGUUAAAAUGGUUUAUUUCAUAACUAAAUAACCAUAGCUCCAAAUUAAAUAAACUUUAUAUGUAAAUGGGGUAGAAAAAUGCCUAGUUUAACAUGGUGCACUUUAUUUUGCUGUUUAACAACAUUAAAAUUGUGUUUAUGGCAGAACAGUACCAAAUCUAAAAUAUGCACAUGAGGAUUUUCCAGAAGUGUUGUUUAUUGUUCCGGCCUCAUUUAAACUUGCCUAGAUAGGUAGUUUUCAUAUGCUUCACCCCUUGCCAUGUUUAAUAACAUUUAAUAUUGUUGGGUACAUAAACGAGAGAGAACUAAAUAAUUGAUGUGGUGUUUCGUCAAUAUGCAACUCGUUUGUUGCACUUUGCCAUGCCAUGCCUCAUUAAACCGGACAUGCAUCAUAUACUUGAUUUUGCAUCAUGCCAUGCUUAUGUGAUGGUUGUUUACCAUGUUGCUUGCUUCUUUCCGGUUUGCUUGUCUCGUUAGCUUCGGUUUCGUUUCGGAGUGUGAGGAUUCGUUCAACUAUGUCCGCUUGUCUUCUUCACGGACUCGUUUUUCUUCCUAGCAGGAUUUCAGGCAAGAUGACCAUACCCUCGAAAUCACUUCUAUCUUUGCUUGCUAGUUGUUCGCUCUAUUGCUAUGCCGCGCUACCUAUCACUUGCUAUAUCAUGCCUCCCAUGUUGCCAUGUCAAGCCUCUAACCCACCUUGCCUAGCAAACCGUUGUUUGGCUAUGUUACCGCUUUUGCUCAACCCCUCUUAUAGCGUUGUUAGUUGCAGGUGAAGUUGAAGAUUGCUUCAUGUUGGAACAUAAUUAGGUGAAGUUGAAGAUUACUCCAUGUUGGAACAUAAUUAUGUUGGGAUAUCACAAUGUCUUUUAUUUUAAUUAAUGCAUCUAUAUACUUGGUAAAGGGUGGAAGGCUCGGCCUUAUGCCUGUUGUUUUGUUCCACUCUUGCCGCCCUAGUUUCCGUCAUACCGGUGUUAUGUUCCUUGAUUUUGCGUUCCUUACGCGGUUGGGGAUUUAUGGGACCCCCUUGACAGUUCGCUUUGAAUAAAACUCCUCCAGCAAGGCCCAACCUUGAUUUUAACAUUUGCCACCUAAGCCUUUUUUUCCCUUGGGUUCUGCAGACUCAAGGGUCAUCUUUAUUUUAACCCCCCCGGUCCAGUGUUCCUCUGAGUGCUGGUCCAAACCGGGCGAUGUCCGGCGCCCCCUGGGCAACCAGGGUCUAUGCCAACCCGACGUCUGGCCCAUCCGGUGUGCCCUGAGAACGAGAUACGUGCGACUCCUAUCGGGAUUUGUCGGCACAUCGGGCGGCUUUGCUGGUCUUGUUUUACCAUUGUCGGAAAGUCUUGUAACCGGGAUUCCGAGACUGAUCGGGUCUUCCCGGGAGAAGGAAUAUCCUUCGUUGACCAUGAGAGCUUGUGAUGGGCUAAGUUGGGACACCCCUGCAGGGUAUAAACUUUCGAGAGCCGUGCCCGCGAUUAUGUGGCAGAUGGGAAUUUGUUAAUGUCCGGUUGUAGAGAACUUGACACUUGACUUAUUUAAAAUACAUCAACCACGUGUGUAACCGUGAUGGUCUCUUUUCGGCGGAGUCCGGGAAGAGAACACGGGUUUUGGGUUAUGUUUGACGUAAGUAGGAGUUCAGGAUCACUUCUUGAUCACUUCUAGCUUUUUGACCAUUCCGUUGCUUCUCUUCUCGCUCUUAUUUGCGUAUGUUAGCCACCAUAUCUUGCUUAGUCGCUGCUGCAACCUCACCACUUACCCCUUCCUUACCCAUUAAGCUUUGCUAGUCUUGAUACCCAUGGUAAUGGGAUUGCUGAGUCCUCGUGGCUCACAGAUUACCACAACACCAGUUGCAGGUACAGGUUAUGCGAUGAUCAUGACGCGAGAGCGAUGUUUACUUGUUUUGGAGUUCUUCUUCUGCUUCUUCUUCGAUCAGGGGAUAGGUUCCAGGUCGGCAGCCUGGGCUAGCAGGGUGGAUGUCGUUUGAGCUUCUGUUUGUGUUUCAUCCGUAGUCGGAUGUUGAUCUUAUGUAUGAUGUAUUGAUGUAUUCUUGCGGCAUUUGGAUGCCUUGUAUGUAUCCCAUCUAUUAUGUAAUGUUGAUGUAAUGAUAUCCACCUUGCAAAAACGUUUCAAUAUGCGGGUCUAUCCUUGGUAGGGCCUUCGAGUUACUCUCGGAUAGGGUCGCAUAUUGGGCGUGACACAAAUUUAGAGCCAUAAUGCCAUAUGGUCAUUCUUAGAAGGCAUAUCUUUGGAAUAUAAUGCAAGUAUCUCUACUUUUACUUCCUUAGCCAAGAGUUAUCUGCAUGACCUUUUCUCUUCUUGCUAUGACUGAACGCUCUAAAACCAAAUGUGUCAUGUCCUCAACCCGCAAGAAAAAUGCUCCAGUAUCAGUUGAAAC